rnacentral:rRNA from 1 species
AUUGAACGCUGGCGGCAGGCCUAACACAUGCAAGUCGAGCGGAUGAAGGGAGCUUGCUCCUGGAUUCAGCGGCGGACGGGUGAGUAAUGCCUAGGAAUCUGCCUGGUAGUGGGGGAUAACGUCCGGAAACGGGCGCUAAUACCGCAUACGUCCUGAGGGAGAAAGUGGGGGAUCUUCGGACCUCACGCUAUCAGAUGAGCCUAGGUCGGAUUAGCUAGUUGGUGGGGUAAAGGCCUACCAAGGCGACGAUCCGUAACUGGUCUGAGAGGAUGAUCAGUCACCCUGGAACUGAGACACGGUCCAGACGCCUAAGGGAGGCAGCAGUGGGGAAUAUUGGACAAUGGGCGAAAGCCUGAUCCAGCCAUGCCGCGUGUGUGAAGAAGGUCUUCGGAUUGUAAAGCACUUUAAGUUGGGAGGAAGGGCAGUAAGUUAAUACCUUGCUGUUUUGACGUUACCAACAGAAUAAGCACCGGCUAACUUCGUG